AGCAGUCGCCGCGGGAAUACAGAGGGUGCGAGCGUUAAUCGGAUUUACUGGGCGUAAAGCGUGCGUAGGCGGCUUCUUAAGUCGGAUGUGAAAUCCCUGAGCUUAACUUAGGAAUUGCAUUCGAUACUGGGAAGCUAGAGUAUGGGAGAGGAUGGUAGAAUUCCAGGUGUAGUGGUGAAAUGCGUAGAGAUCUGGAGGAAUACCGAUGGCGAAGGCAGCCAUCUGGCCUAAUACUGACGCUGAGGUACGAAAGCAUGGGGAGCAAACAGGAUUAGAUACCCCCGUAGUCCCUGUCUCUUAUAC
rnacentral:rRNA from 1 species